GCACCAUUCUUAGUUUGGGAGUUGACAACGCUGUAGGGAAAUUAAACAAUAAGAGGUUAUGGUAGCUGUUGACAGCAGACCCCUACAACUACAAGAGGACAACAGCAUUAAAACACAGGGAACAAACCUGUAAGGACACACAUGGACAUUUGAUGUGGUCAUACAUAAGAAAGACAUUUCAGAGUAUAUUUCCCACUCAAAACUACUAGAUAGACUUAUGUUAACCUCUAUAUCCAAGCUUAUUGCCUUUUUAUGUAGUGAGUUUUGAAACGUGUAGAGUAGCAUGUUCUUCCCUUGUUCUUGAUAACAAUACAAAGUGUACGGUUUUAACACUGUGGGUACUUUGCUCAACAGCAUCUUAACAUGGCACCUUACACCUUGCAUUUUCUCAGUUUAAACCUCUUGUCGUAAAAGAGAUCAGAAAGGGAGUUUUAUCCAACUUGUACCAAGAAGUUAUUAAGAAGAUUAGUGCUGACGAAAAUAAGUGCAGCUCAGCCAUUCGUUGGGUGAAAAACUCUACUCACCUAUUUACCCCUUGCUCUCCAUGUCUAAACUUAACGGCACCUCACUUAAUUACUCAACUUAACAUCUCAAAGCUUAAAAGAUCAUAACUGAACCUCUCUAGAAGCAACACAAAUGGCCGUCAGAGAAGAAGCAGAGAGGGUGCUCAUGCUGAGACUAUACUCCUAGUGUUUAUCAUCUUCAUCAUCAUCUUAGACUGGUGAUUUUCCUGCAAGUCCGCCCUGUGUGUUAACAUGGCUGACAUUAUCCUAAUGCAGAGGUCCACCCUUCUAAACUGCAUGUUGGAAUUAUAGUUUGGCCAAAGAUCUUAAUCUGCACUAAUUGAUUACAUAACCUGUCUUUGGCCUCUUUCUCUCUCACCCUUUCUCAUUCAUUCACUCUUUUGUUUACUGCGGCUAUCAGCAGGGACACAGCACACGAGCCUGUUGGUUUUGGUUCCCUGGGAUGGACAGGAGAACGAGCUACCAAUUCAGAUGUAGCUUAUAAAUCUUAACAUACACCAAGAUAUCGGGGAAAGGGAGCCACAUCUGUGCUGUGCCAACUGUAACACAAAAGACUGAUUGCUUGAUAAGUACAACAUUGGAGACAAGUGAAUGCUGCUCACGCUUUAUGGUCAAACCUGAGUACUUGUCUUCACUGCACAGAUGACCUCUGACCUGUGUUCAUCAUUCAAAAGAAAACUAAUCUGCUGUGUGUUACAUUUGUAAAACCUUUAUCCAAAUACAAUAACAAUACAAUAAAGAAAAUGCAUGCGCAAACCUGCACUGGCCUUUCAUCACAUUGUGCGCAUGUAUUUCAUGUUAUAUUAUAUGUAGUUUUACUAUAUGAUAGUUCUACUUGUGAGUUUUAGUGGUUUUAGUUGCUCUAAAUACUGCUCAAUAAAAUUCCUUCUAGCUCCUUGAAUCUUCUGUAUGAAAAAGACUGGAUAAAGAAAAUACAUAUCAAAUAUAGAGUAAAAGGUACUGAGCUUUAAACAUAGAGUAUGUAAUUUUCUGCCACUAGGGGGUCUUUCACAUUAAAACAAUAACUAAAGACUAGUUUGAGGAUGUUAAGUAGAGAAGGAUCAUGGGAGUUGUUGUCUACAUUGUCAAACAACCAUCAUUGCUGAAAAUCUAUCUCAUGUGACUCCUCACUCUCUGACCUAUCCCAUGUUUACCAGAGGCUCUGUUUCCAUUGCCUAAAAUAUAUAACAUAGGUCGUUUUUUAUACAUUUUAAUGUGGAAAUGUGACAAUUUAUAUCUUUAACCCUCAAACCAGCCUACCAGUCUAUAUCGGUCGAAGCCUGGGUGGAAGUAAGAGGUCUUUUUCUCGAGGCUGUGUUGGGGUUAAUAGGGUGAAAUAAAACUUAAAGAUCCAGUGUUUAACAUUUGGGAUGAUCUACAACAUAAUAUUCAUAGAUAUGUUUUCAUUAAUGUGUGUUCAUUAAUGCUGCAAACAGAAACGGCAAUAAAAGUAGUUCAAAUGUAGUUGGUGUAACUUGUUCACCGUUAUCUACCUGUCAGUGUGUGUACUAUUACCUCUGUGCAGCAACACUCUCAUUACAUUGUACCAUCAAUAGGCUGCAAGUUACUAAAGUGGUGAUGUAACCGAGGGGG